rnacentral:rRNA from 1 species
AGACCCGAAACCCGGUGAUCUAGCCAUGGGCAGGUUGAAGGUUGGGUAACACUAACUGGAGGACCGAACCGACUAAUGUUGAAAAAUUAGCGGAUGACCUGUGGCUGGGGGUGAAAGGCCAAUCAAACCGGGAGAUAGCUGGUUCUCCCCGAAAGCUAUUUAGGUAGCGCCUCGUGAAUUCAUCUCCGGGGGUAGAGCACUGUUUCGGCUAGGGGGCCAUCCCGGCUUACCAACCCGAUGCAAACUGCGAAUACCGGAGAAUGUUAUCACGGGAGACACACGGCGGGUGCUAACGUCCGUCGUGAAGAGGGAAACAACCCAGACCGCCAGCUAAGGUCCCAAAGUCAUGGUUAAGUGGGAAACGAUGUGGGAAGGCCCAGACAGCCAGGAUGUUGGCUUAGAAGCAGCCAUCAUUUAAAGAAAGCGUAAUAGCUCACUGGUCGAGUCGGCCUGCGCGGAAGAUGUAACGGGGCUAAACCAUGCACCGAAGCUGCGGCAGCGACACUCAGGUGUUGUUGGGUAGGGGAGCGUUCUGUAAGCCUGCGAAGGUGGCCUGUGAGGGUUGCUGGAGGUAUCAGAAGUGCGAAUGCUGACAUAAGUAACGAUAAAGCGGGUGAA